AUGGUAAAAUAUCAAUGAUGAUCUAUUUUAUCAUUCACAACUGUCGAAGCUGCCAGUGGGGACGACACAGUAAAGCUAUUCAACGUCUCAACAGAUCCAGGCGACCCCUGCACCUUUCAUUACUUGCCUUCUGCGGGUUCCAGGUUAAAGGAAUCGCAUCAGUUCCACAAUAACCAGAAAACCAUUAAGCAGUUCCAUGACUACAGAGAGUGAAAUUGACAACAAAGAUUCAAAGUCGAUUACAAUAGUGGACUUAGAAUGACACUGGGUAGUAGAAAUGCCCAUGAUAGCAGGGAGAUUCAAUUAGGGGGAUGUGUGAGAAAGGCAAUUUUGGUUUUUAGGCAGAUUGCAAGGAGAAUGAAAAAGAACCAAGAAGCAAUUUUGGUUUUUAGGCGGAUUGCAUGGAGAAUUAAACAGAACCAAGAAGCAACUGACGAUGGUUUUUGUGUUGGUUUUGAUUAAGUUUGAUGUAAUUUAUUGGAACUGGUUUGAAAAGAACAUCUUUCAUUCCAUGCCAGUUUGUUUCUAUCAAGUGCCUGAAUUGUUUAGUUUUGUUGUAAUUUUGGUAUGACAAUGUAUGUCUAAGAACCAAUAAUCUCAUGAAAGAAAAUGCUUUCUAAUUA